rnacentral:ncRNA from 1 species
UAAAAAUUUAAUUUUUGUUUAAAAAUUAAUGAUUAAAUAAAAAUUAUAUAUAAAAUUAAUUUAAAUAUGGGAGGAGUAUAUUAAUGUUUAAAAUUAAAAAAGAAAUUAAAGUUUUUUUAGUUUAUAAUUUAAUAAUUGAAAAAAUUAGUGCCAGCCUUAGCGGUUAAACUAUUAAUUAAAAUUAAUUUUUAUUAUUAUUAAUAUUAUAAAUAAUUAAUUUUUGUUAAAUUAAAUAUUAUAUUAAAUGGUGAAAUGUUAAAUUAAUUUAUUUUAAUAAUUAAUUUUUUUUAUAUUGAAAUAAUUUAUAUAAUAAACUAGGAUUAGAUACCCUAUUAUAAUAAAUAUAAUAAUUUUGAUAUUUAUAUAGGAUAUUAAAUGUUAAAUCAUUAAAUUUAUAAGAUUUGGCGGUAUCUUAAAAAAUUAGAGGAAUCUGUAAUUUAUAAAUUGAUAAUCCACGAUAAGAAUUACUUAUAAUAAUUUAUUUAUGUAUUGCUGUUUGAAAAAUUUUAUUAAGUAAUAAUUUAUAUUUUAAUAAAUUUAAAAUAAUUCAAGUCAAAAUAUAGUUUUAAUAAGGUAAUUAUGGAUUACUAUAUUUUAAUAAUGAGAUAAUUUAAUUUAAUUUAAAUUUGAAUAAGGAUUUAAUAGUAAAUUUAAUAAAUUAGUUAAAUUGAAAUUAGAAGUAAGAUGUGUACAAAUUGCCCGUCACUUUCAAUAAAAUGAAAUAAGUCGUAACAUAGUUUAGAUACUGGAAAGUGUUUAUAGAUUAUU